rnacentral:rRNA from 1 species
ACGCUCGACACUUACGGGAAGGCAGCAGUGGGGAAUAUUGCACAAUGGGGGAAACCCUGAUGCAGCGACGCCGCGUGAGUGAAGAAGUAUUUCGGUAUGUAAAGCUCUAUCAGCAGGGAAGAAGAUGACGGUACCUGAGUAAGAAGCCCCGGCUAACUACGUGCCAGCAGCCGNGGUAAUCUGAGCGGGCUGGCAAGGC